rnacentral:misc_RNA from 1 species
GAGAGAGAGAGAGAGAGAUUCAGGGUGUAAUUCUAUUUGUUAUUAGAGUUUUUCAUUUUCCUGAAUUUUCCCAACAAUCACGCAGAAAUUAACUGUUCAAUCAAACUACGCCAUCUACAAGAAAUCCACUCAUAACAACAUAUCAUGGAAAACAAUUAUAACCGAAAAAUGAAUCAAAAUUGAUCACAAAGCAACCAGAAAAAACAAAACAAGGUGUAGGGAAUAAUUAUAAUAAAGCACAGCGCUUACGCAGGGUCGUGAUUGCACAUG